rnacentral:rRNA from 1 species
UACGUAGGGAGCAAGCGUUGUCCGGAAUCAUUGGGCGUAAAGCGCGCGUAGGCGGCCCGAUAAGUCCGCUGUAAAAGUCAACGGCUCAACUGUUGAAAGCCGGUGGAUACUGUCGGGCUAGAGUACGGAAGAGGCAAGUGGAAUUCCAGGUGUAGCGGUGAAAUGCGUAGAUAUCUGGAGGAACACCGGUGGCGAAGGCGGCAUCCUGGACCGGUAUUGACGCUGAGGCGCGAAAGCUAGGGGAGCAAACGGG